AUAAAUUCAACUAAAGAGGGGAGCAAUCCCCUUCUUUAAACACAAUGUGCAUUGUAAUUGUCUCUGGUGGGUCAAGCUCGCUUGCCCACUGUAUUUAAACUCUUUUGCUUUAUUUUGGACUUUAGUUUAAGAAUAUAAUUCUAA
rnacentral:misc_RNA from 1 species